rnacentral:rRNA from 1 species
AACGUAGGAGGCGAGCGUUAUCCGGAUUCAUUGGGCGUAAAGGGCAAGUAGGCGGUAGGCAAAGUUGGUUGUGACAUCUCCCGGCUCAACUGGGAGGGUGCGGCCAAAACUAGCAUACUAGAGGGCAGAAGAGGGAAGCGGAAUUCCUAGUGUAGCGGUGGAAUGCUCAGAUACUAGGAGGAACACCAGUGGCGAAGGCGGCUUCCUGGUUUGCACCUGACGCUGAGAGGCGAAAGCUAGGGGAGCGAACGGG